UUCACUUUGGCCUCAAGUAAUCCAAAAUUGAAAUGGUACAGAGAACAUUAUCAUAGGCCCCUGCACAAGGAUAACAUGCAAAGUUGAAAAAUGGUCUGUGCUUUU